UACGUAGGGGGCAAGCGUUAAUCGGAAUUACUGGGCGUAAAGGGUGCGUAGGCGGUUGUUUAAGUCUGUCGUGAAAUCCCCGGGCUCAACCUGGGAAUGGCGAUGGAUACUGGACAGCUAGAGUGUGUCAGAGGAUGGUGGAAUUCCCGGUGUAGCGGUGAAAUGCGUAGAGAUCGGGAGGAACAUCAGUGGCGAAGGCGGCCAUCUGGGACAACACUGACGCUGAAGCACGAAAGCGUGGGGAGCAAACAGG
rnacentral:rRNA from 1 species